rnacentral:rRNA from 1 species
CGUAGGGUGCGAGCGUUAAUCGGAAUUACUGGGCGUAAAGCGUGCGCAGGCGGUUUUGUAAGACAGAUGUGAAAUCCCCGGGCUCAACCUGGGACCUGCAUUUGUGACUGCAAGGCUAGAGUACGGUAGAGGGGGAUGGAAUUCCGCGUGUAGCAGUGAAAUGCGUAGAUAUGCGGAGGAACACCGAUGGCGAAGGCAAUCCCCUGGACCUGUACUGACGCUCAUGCACGAAAGCGUGGGGGAGCAAACAGGGAUUAGAUACCCUGGUAGUCCACGCCCUAAACGAUGUCAACUGGUUGUUGGGUCUUUACUGACUCAGUAACGAAGCUAACGCGUGAAGUUGACCGCCUGGGGAGUACGGCCGCAAGGUUG